rnacentral:rRNA from 1 species
AGAACGAACGCUGGCGGCAGGCUUAACACAUGCAAGUCGAGCGCCCAGCAAUGGGAGCGGCGGACGGGUGAGUAACACGUGGGAACAUGCCCUUUGGUACGGGACAACUCAGGGAAACUUGAGCUAAUACCGUAUGAGCCGGUAACGGGAAAGAUUUAUCGCCAAAGGAAUGGCCCGCGUCCGAUUAGCUAGUUGGUGAGGUAAUGGCUCACCAAGGCACCGAUCGGUAGCUGGUUUGAGAGAACGACCAGCCACACUGGGACUGAGACACGGCCCAGACUCCUACGGGAGGCAGCAGUGGGGAAUCUUGGACAAUGGGGGCAACCCUGAUCCAGCCAUGCCACGUGAGUGAUGAAGGCCUUCGGGUUGUAAAACUCUUUCGACGGGACGAUAAUGACGGUACCCGUAGAAGAAGCUCCGGCUAACUUCGCGCCAGCAGCCGC